AUGCCGACUUUGUGCUGUCAGACCAUUAGUGUUUGUGUUUUCUUAGUGUUUGUGAAUGUGUUGUGUUUGUCUCCUGCAGCUGGUCCCACAGUGAAGCCCUCAGUGUCUCUGCUGCCGCCCUCUUCUCUGCAGAUCUCUGGAGACUCAGCCGCACUGCUCUGCCUGCUCAGCUCUUACUCUCCACAGGGGGCGCAGGUGAGCUGGACACUGGACGGCUCAGAGGUCACCGAGGGGGUUCAGACCAGCACAGAGAGUGAGCAGGGCGGGCGCUACAGCCGUAGUAGCGUCCUGACCCUCAGCAAAGCACGCUGGGAAAAAGGAGAGCUGUACGUCUGCAGAGUAACACAUGAUGGAGCUCCUCAAGAGGUCUCGUUCCAGAAGAGUCAGUCGCAGUGCUGAUGUUUCUCCAGUGAGCGCUGCUCUCUCCUGAAGAUGAGGCGUAUCUGAGUGUCCUGUGUCAGGCAGGAUUCACAUGAGUCUCGUGCUGCAGCUGUAGUCAUUUACAACUCAAUACUGAAAGAGAGCUCUAGUGUCAAAGCACUGGCUGAUCUUUCAAUCUGCUGUGUUUGCUGUAACAUUCAAUAAAGCUUCUCAACAAGCUCCA